rfam:Brachypodium distachyon strain Bd21 chromosome 1, whole genome shotgun sequence.
UUAUUACUCCCUCCGUCCAACAAAGGAUGUCUCAACUUUGACUAAAUUUAAAUGCAUAUAUACACUAUACACUAAGUCAUGUCUAGAUACAUUCAAAUUUUGAGAAACUUGAGACAUCUUUUGUUGGACGGAGGGAGUAUUUG